AUCGAACGCUGGCGGCAGGCCUAACACAUGCAAGUCGAGCGGAGAGGCGGACGGGUGAGUAAUCUAGGGGGAUCUGCCUGGUAGUGGGGGAUAAGGUACGGAAACGGGCGCUAAUAACGCAUAAUAUAAGCUGCGCCGAGGUCGGAUAAGCUAUGUGGCGGGGUAAAGGCCUACCAAGGCAACGCUCCGUAACUGGUCUGAGAGGAUGAUCAGUCACACUGUAACUGAGACACGGUCCAGACUCCUACGGUAGGCAGCAGUGGGGAAUAUUGGACAAUGGGGGCAAGCCUGAUGCAGCCAUGCCGCGUGUAUGAAGAAGGCCUUCGGGUUGUAAAGUACUGUCAGUCGGGAGGCGUUACCGACAGAAGAAGCACCGGCUAACUCCGUGCCAGCAGCCGCGGUAAUUC
rnacentral:rRNA from 1 species